UACGAAGGGGGCUAGCGUUGCUCGGAAUCACUGGGCGUAAAGCGCACGUAGGCGGAUUGUUAAGUCAGGGGUGAAAUCCUGGAGCUCAACUCCAGAACUGCCUUCGAUACUGGCGAUCUUGAGUCCGGAAGAGGUGAGUGGAACUCCUAGUGUAGAGGUGGAAUUCGUAGAUAUUAGGAAGAACACCAGUGGCGAAGGCGGCUCACUGGUCCGGUACUGACGCUGAGGUGCGAAAGCGUGGGGAGCAAACAGG
rnacentral:rRNA from 1 species